rnacentral:lncRNA from 1 species
CUGAAUUUGCUAAUGACUUUCAAGCCAAUUAAACACAUCUCUAUAUGUCUCAAAGCAUUUAAUGAAAAAGUCCAUCUAAUUCUGUUGCAUUCUGUAUUUCAUUUCGUAAUUUUGACACAAUAAUCUGUUUUAUGUCCUGGUCUGUUCUGGUCCAUUUCAUUUGAUUUCAUUCUGUUUGCAUUCCUAUAGUGUAUUCCACACCAUUUCAUAUUCCAUCGCAUUCCAUUCUACACAAUUCCACAUCUCCCCGGCCACAUCAGCCUGAGAGUAAUAAACAGACCUUGCCAUCGUAUCCCCUUUUGGAGACACAAGCCAGGAAGGAAGCUCUUCAGUGCAGCUGUGAAUAGAGAAAUGCUGGCUGAGGUUUUGGAGACACUGGGUGAUCAUUCCCAGUGAAAUUUUUAGAUCCCUGGGGACAUGAGCUGCUUUGUCUUUUCCAAGGUCAGGAUAAACAGAAUAACUUCAGGCUUCUCUACCCAGAAAGAACAUGUGGCAUAAAUAUCAACUGCAGAAUAAAUAUGAUUAAUCUGGUACAUGGACGAAGAUGUUUUCUAGGAGAUGCUUAUCCUGGGAUGAGAGCUUUCAUAAGCAUUGAUAUUUACAUGACUCUUACCGUGUGUCAGGAACUGUUCUAAUUGUUUUACCUAUGUCAAUUCAUUUGAUAGUCACAACCACUGAAAGGAGACAGCAGACAGAGCAUGAAUGAGACCCCCAAAGAAGGGAAGCAAAUGAGACAAGCCCCACAAUUAUUCUGGCUUUUUGCCUAGAGACAAUCUAUGAACUGUGGGGCAAACAACAGAGAUCAAAACAGCUUGGCAAUCUGAGUUGAGGAUGAAGACACCAUUGGGGCAGAAGCAGCGAUAGCUCAAAUUUGUGGAGCAAAGUACCGGAGAAGAUAAACUGCUCCAAAUUCCAAGAGGCUGGGCAAAGAAAAACUUUGUGGAAAGAAGAAUUAUCAGGGAACUCUAAGCUGAAAAAUUGCCAGGGCUCACACAGACCUGGGGAAUUGGUUGAGUUUAUGCCACCUACAGGAUAGAGAACUUGCUGAAUGUUCAAGGAUUUUGUUACAGAUGCAAGAUGACACUUAAAGGGAUGCAAAACUAACAUCUCUGGAUUAGUCUUAAUAAAGUUUAAAAAUAAGCUUAGAAAAAGUCAAACGGAUCCACAGUUCUUCUUGUGUGACUUUGGGCAUGUUAAUAAGCUUUCUGAGUCUCAGUU